rnacentral:sRNA from 1 species
ACCGCGCCACCGAUUGGAGCGGAAAUCCUUUCCUAAUUCAAUGUAAUUUCUUUUUUCAAUCCAUUGGAAAGAUUGCAGCGGAAAGCGGGGUCGUGA